UACAGAGGGUGCGAGCGUUAUUCGGAAUUACUGGGCGUAAAGCGCGCGUAGGCGGCUUUGUAAGUCGGGUGUGAAAUCCCCAGGCUUAACCUGGGAACUGCAUUCGAGACUGCAUUGCUAGAGUAUGGGAGAGGGAAGUGGAAUUUCCGGUGUAGCGGUGAAAUGCGUAGAUAUCGGAAGGAACAUCAGUGGCGAAAGCGACUUCCUGGACCAAUACUGACGCUCAUAUGCGAAAGCUUGGGGAGCAAACAGG
rnacentral:rRNA from 1 species